CAGAGAGAAGCAGCUUCCUGGGCAUACAUAUUAAGAGACAAAAAUGAUGAAGUAUGAUCUUCCCAGAUCACUCCUCUGGAAAAAGGAAGAAAACCUCAGAUGGGCAUGCAUACAAAGCCCAAACACACUGCAUGUGCUGAAUUCCCAAAGGUUGCAGUGGAAUGGUCCAAUCACAGCUUACUGCAGCCUCAACCUCCUAGACUCAAGCAAUCCUUCCACCCCAGCCUCCUGAGGAGCUGAGAUCACAAGUGUGUGCCAUUACAUUUUUACAUUGUUUUCUAUGGAAGAAGAUUGCUCACAAUAAUAAUAGCUAUAGCAGAAGCCUCAGCAGCAAAUAUUUUCUGUUCAAAAGGAUUGGCUGCCUCCAUCCCUCCUGCCCAGGUGAGACCAGAAGUGUGGAUGAGUAGAGCAUUCCAUUUGCCUGUCCUUUAACUAGCAUUUUAUUCUGCAUAGACAUUUUUAGUAUUUUGCAAUUAUUGAAACAUGGCAAAUGUAUCUGAUCCCUGAGCCCUCUUCUUCUCAGCCUUACUAGCCCUUAAUAUUUCCUUAAAAAAUAUUCUUUUUCAGGUAUUUGAAGUCUUUCCCUUCUGAUCUCUCUGAGUCCUUGCUCCAUUGGGUGGGAAUUUUCAGCCCAGGAAAGUAAAUGGCAUGAAUAUUAUAAUGGCCUUCUAGAGUCUGGAAGCCCAGGUCAGCAGUGGGAAGUAUCUAGAGAGAAGCUUUAUUUGUCUGUCCAACUUUCUCUGCAUCCACUCCAUUUCCAGUUUCAGGAAGGAAACUGUGGACAAUGUGGAAUGUUACAUAUGUGACCAGAAGAUAAAUUUACAGUAAUGUUUGGGUUUCUACCCCUUCCUCACUCUUUCCCUACCUCCAGGUAAGCAAUCCUAAGGGAUGCUUUUCUAAAGUACCCAGUGGAUUCCCCAGAGUUUGCAAGGUACUUAACUGCAGGUGUGUGUGUGUGUGUGUGUGUGUGUGUGUGUAUGUGUGUGUGUCUGUACAGGGCUACUCUGUGCACUACAUCACUAGGUACGCUGAUUUUGGGCUUUUGAAAUCAUUGUACCCAGCAGAGCCUUAUCUCCUUAGAGCCACCUCAUCUUAAGGCUGAGCAGCUGAUGGACCAGCUAAAAUGUCAUACUUUGCCAUCUUUAGUUUGACAAACACUAGCUUUUUGUUUUGUU
rnacentral:lncRNA from 13 species